CGAGCAGGUCGUGUCCAGCUCCUCCGGGUGCAGGGGGGACACGGUGCUCCUGCCUGCAGCUCGUGUCUUCACAAGCCGCGUGGUGUGACAGGCACAGAAGUGAACAUACUCGCAGCAUUUUUUAUUUACCGUCUCGUUUUUGCACCCGGGGGUGCUGCAGCUUUCAGCUUUUUAUCUGCUCGGGAGCGCUAAGAAGUGCUUUAUCCAGGAAAAUCGGUUCUUGGAAAGGAGCAAGUCCCAAAUGUUGAUGGUUGGUCUCCUCUGAGGCUGGGCAGUGCUCAGGGCCAAGGAGGGCUCUGCACUUGGGGGUAAUUGAAUCUCUGUGUCCUGGGGUUCUUCUGCUCUGCUUCCCCUGCCCAGACUGAAACCAGAAUGCUUUAAGGGAGGAAAACAAACAAAGCAAGCCUGUCAGAGACAAACCAUCUGGUGACCAUAAUUGCUAACAUAACAGGUAAAUGUUUGUGGUUUGUAGCCAGAGGGAUGGGUAAAGUCUCUCAAGCAGGAUGACUCAUUUUACCAACUGUUGUUAAACAGAUCAGUGUAGUUACUGUGCUGGUAACACACAGCAAGGUCAGUGUCAUUGUGCAGUGCACAGGGGGGCUGGGAAAGGAGCUUGAAGGUCACACAGCUGAAGGCAGACCUCUCUAUAGGAGGACACUUCUCUAGUUUUGCUGCAUUCUCACACUGUCAGUGGGUACAGAUGUCCAAAGAGCAUCGAUGAAAAGCAGAAUCAGCUCACCUGGGGUGGUUGGAAGCAGCUCUCCCUGGCAGGCAGGAUGACAAGGUCUUACUUUGGUGUGAUCCCAGGAGAGCCAAGCUUUUGACAUUUAAGCUGGAAAAAUGAGCUGCCUCAGUGCUGGUGCUGGCUUAGGAAGCAAGAUCCUCCUGCUUGGUGGUUCAGCAGGAGGUGUCAGGAGCCAUCCCUGAAACGUGAUGCAAAAGCUGAUGUGUCCGAGGAGCCAGUUCCUUGUGUGAGUGAGGGCAGCAUCCAUCAAGGCAGGAGAAAAUCAGGACUUUGAGGGAUCUUCCAGCAGGUCUCAGCUCCUAUAACAGGAAAGCCUGCUGAAUUAGGAAUUUCCUUCCCCAUGGGAGUUCAAGCUCUGUCAAACCCUUGAAUUGGUGCUUCCAAUGGUCCAUCUCUGUAAAGGUGGGUGCUUCUCUGAAGGGUUGGUUCAAACUGGUGGCAGAGUGAGAAGCCAGACUAGACCUGAUGGAAAUGCACUUUUCUAAAUGCCAUCCUUCACAUUCAGCAUAAAACUCUUGACAAGCUGUGUCCUUAGUGAUCACAAUGGGGUGAGCUCAGUAGGGUGGGCCACUGGUUUUGCCAGAUUCUGAAAUUGAUCAUUAUUUCCUAUUAAAUUGUACUUUUCCUCAUCCGUUUUACUUGCAUGCAUCGUUCUUCCUGUCCUGAGUGAUGGGGUGUGCUCUUCAGUAGCUGCUGCCCAUUGAACACCUCUGGGUAUUUAAUGCUCUCUUCUUACCUCCUAAUGGGACCUGUGUCCCUUUCCUUGAUGUUUUCAAAGCCUUUUGAAAAGUUUGGCUGGAGGGUGGGCUAGAUUUUUUUUCCUUCCUUUGAUCACUGAAAGCCUCACUUAAGAAAAAAGAAUAAAUCAAGUGACUGUGACUCACAGAGUCAUUGGGAGGUGUGCACAUGGCCACUAAUAUUUUUGGAUGCAGAAGAAAGGCCCUCAGCACUUUGCUGAGCAAACUGCUGAUAAAUGGCAGCUGUUCCUUUGUGAAGCCAAAUACUAACGUUGUGUUACUUGCAUCACUCAUUUUUUUUUGGAUCUGUGGCUUUUCAAGAGAGACCAAAACCAAAAUAGCAUUUGAAUUGUCAGCUUAGAGACUGAGCAACUUCCCUGAGACUUCAGGGUCGAUUUAUUGUGUGGGAAAUGUUGGUGUCCAGGUGGAUAAAAUGUAUGUUAUAUAAAUAAUGCAGCAGUGGUUCAUAUUCUCUCUGCUUUCUGCAAAGGAGCCUGAAGCGUUUUCUUGACCCAAAUCGUACGUGAAAACCGAAGAACUAACUCUUCUGCUGCUCUUGGAAGUGAAAAGAGCUGUAAAGAAGGUCCUAGCUUUGGGAAUACUGAUGUUUCUUCUCAGCUGAGGAGAGAAGAAAGCACUUGGAAAUGGAUUGAAUCUGUUGGACACUGAACUGUGAUGCUGGUGCACAGGAGAUUGGUUCAAGUGGGAAGUGGAGGUGCUCCUCUAAUAUGGAAAGGAGAGGGGCUCCUCUUACAUGGAAGGGGAGCUGCUCCUUUCCCCCCCCACCUCUGCAGCAGCCCAAUGACUGCAGAGUAAACACUGGCCUGACUGACCCCAACACUGCUCCCCCCACCCCCUGCUCCCAGUGUUGAAUCAAAAGGGUGGUGAGAAAAUCGACGACGCUGCUUCUGUUGCUCGUUUUUAUUUCUGUUCUUUUUAUUAUUCAACUGCUUUCCAUUAUAAAUAAAUAAGGCAUGAAGGUUCUCCAUACUGUUGCA